CCGUUUUUAUUUGACUUUUAUUCACGCCGAUCACGUGAUUUCACAAAAAUGUUCCUCAUGGUUAUUUCCGGUUGUCAUUGUUUACGUUGGAAACAAACCGUUUGAAGCGAAAAAAGACGCCGACUGGUACUCCUGCGCGGCUCCUGGCUGAAGAUCUGACGUCUGAAUACAGGGGAGAUAUGGGUACAUGUCGUCAGUACAGUUUUUUGUCUUCCCCUCCAAAAUAAAGGCACCAACAAAAAGAAAAAAAUGUCUUAACCUUAGAAGAAGGGGAUCCGACUUUGAGCCAAAAGGAAUGCGACGGGUCUGUUCCUUACACUUUGUGGACGGAAAACCCACUCCUGACCACCCAUACCCAGAAGUAUUUGAAUAUAACAACUUCAAAUAAAGUAAAAAAAAUUCGCCCUAAUACCUCAAUUCUAAAAAGAGAACAGGCUUUAUUACAUUUACACAAUUCUAUGAAGAACGAUGCUGGUGUCUGCAGAGACGAGGAUGGUUGCAUUGAUUAUGACUUGACACCAAUAAAACGUAUUGUUGAUGCUGAUGACAUGAAUCCCCUAGAAUUAAAUGGCUGUUGUAAAAGAAUGUGUGAUUUCUGACAUGGAGACAUCUGUCUCCCACCCAUGGUCAGAAGCUAUUGCAAGAGAUCAUGAUUAUGGAG